CGGGCUAUAGCGCAGUUGGCUAGCGCGCAUGCAUGGGGUGCAUGAGGUCGGCAGUUCGAGUCUGCCUAGCCCGACCA
rnacentral:tRNA from 1 species